rnacentral:rRNA from 1 species
UGAUAACUAGCUGCUGGGGCUCAUGGAGUUUCGGUGGCGCAGCUAACGCAUUAAGUUAUCCGCCUGGGGAGUACGUUCGCAAGAUUAAAACUCAAAGGAAUUGACGGGGGCCUGCACAAGCGNUGGAGCAUGUGUUUAAUUCGAAGCAACGCGCAGAACCUUACCAACGUUUGACAUCCUCAUCGCGAUUUCCAGAGAUGGAUUUCUUCAGUUCGGCUGGAUGAGUGACAGGUGCUGCAUGGCUGUCGUCAGCUCGUGUCGUGAGAUGUUGGGUUAAGUCCCGCAACGAGCGCAACCCUCGCCUUUAGUUGCCAUCAUUUAGUUGGGUACUCUAAAGGAACCGCCGGUGAUAAGCCGGAGGAAGGUGGGGAUGACGUCAAGUCCUCAUGGCCCUUACGCGUUGGGCUACACACGUGCUACAAUGGCGACUACAGUGGGCAGCGACCAUGCGAGUGGAAGCUAAUCUCCAAAAGUCGUCUCAGUUCGGAUUGUUCUCUGCAACUCGAGAGCAUGAAGGCGGAAUCGCUAGUAAUCGCGGAUCAGCAUGCCGCGGUGAAUACGUUCCCAGGCCUUGUACACACCGCCCGUCACACCAUGGGAGUUGGUUUCACCCGAAGGCAGUGCGCUAACCGCAAGGAGGCAGCUGACCACGGUAAGGUCAGCGACUGGGGUGAAGUCGUAACAAGGUAGCCCUAGGGGAACCUGGGGCUGGAUCACCUCCUUAAGCUUGGAUUCCCGGG